GGGGGUAUAGCCCUGUGGUAGAGCACGUGCUUAGCAUGCAUGAGGUCCUAGGUUCAAUCCCCAGUACCUCCA
rnacentral:tRNA from 1 species